rnacentral:rRNA from 1 species
UGGGGAAUAUUGCACAAUGGGGGAAACCCUGAUGCAGCAACGCCGCGUGAGUGAUGACGGCCUUCGGGUUGUAAAGCUCUGUCUUCAGGGACGAUAAUGACGGUACCUGAGGAGGAAGCCACGGCUAACUACGUGCCAGCAGCCGCGGUAAUACGUAGGUGGCAAGCGUUGUCCGGAUUUACUGGGCGUAAAGGGAGCGUAGGCGGACUUUUAAGUGAGAUGUGAAAUACCCGGGCUCAACCUGGGUGCUGCAUUUCAAACUGGAAGUCUAGAGUGCAGGAGAGGAGAGUGGAAUUCCUAGUGUAGCGGUGAAAUGCGUAGAGAUUAGGAAGAACACCAGUGGCGAAGGCGACUCUCUGAACUGUAACUGACGCUGAGGCUCGAAAGCGUGGGGAGCAAGCA